GGCUUUGCUUUUCAGUGUCUGCUUUCCAGUUUUGGAUCAGUGAGCUCUACAGCUGCAUGCUUUGACUGCCGGAAAAUUAAUCUUGCUUCGUCAAGUCUUUCACUUUACUUUCUCCUGUACUUAUAAUCAGAAAUUAGCUUUGAUGUGCAGUGACAGUGGAUUUCCUCUUGAACUGCUGGUGAAAACAGUCUAGUUCACAGGUGCUGUCAACCCAGUGUGGGAGCAGGGAAUGAUUGCCGGGUUGGGGAGUACAAGAGUAUACCUUCAGGAAAGGGAUGCAGCGUACCUCUUACUUCUGAGUCCUCCCUCUCUGCAGAUGGAGACUCUUGGGGAAGCUGACUUUUUCCCUCAAACUCUCCUAGACCUUCCUUCUUGCUGCCCUUGGAGACAGCCAGUCCACUGAGUUGUCACCCUCUUUUCAUCCUUCUGCCUAUGACCAGCCACAUGGACAGGCUGGGGAAUUCACAUACUUGGGCAGUAACCAGCAAGUUUUUAUCCAGUAAUGCCUCAAGG
rnacentral:lncRNA from 1 species